GACACUUUUAUUAUAAAUUUAACCAUUUCUUAUAUUUAUCGUUCUAUUUGGUCAAAAAAAAGAAUACUAAUAAGAAAAAAACAAAAACAAUGCCGACAAGUUAACUAUAAAGGUACUAAGAUGACGGAGAUUUCUGUCAGCAGAAAUUCAGAGGAAAAGUCUAAUCAUCAAAAGCCAAACUAAUAAGAUAUUUGAUGAGACUACGUG
rnacentral:lncRNA from 1 species